CUCUAGCAUGUAAGUC
rnacentral:rRNA from 1 species